AAGGGAGACCUAAUUCGGGUAGAAGACGAAAAAUAGUAGUCGAAACCAAGAAUCAAUCCCAAAAGGUCGGAACGAGGUAUGUGGCUUUCAAACUAGGUUCUGGGUUCACAAAAGACCUGAAUCAGGAACAAGGGCUAUUAGCUCAGGUGGUUAGAGCGCACCCCUGAUAAGGGUGAGGUCCCUGGUUCGAGUCCAGGAUGGCCCACCUGCACAGGUGGCAAAAACAAGAGAAACGAGGAAUCAGCACCUUAUCUUACUUACAUAGUAAGAGAGAAUGCUGGCUCUGAGUAAAGAGUCCAGAGGAACCUUGAAAACUGCAUAGAGCUAGGUGAAAAAGCCAAAAAAGAAGACCGCAA
rnacentral:tRNA from 1 species